GCAUAUGGCUUCAUCUCCUCACUGCCUCAUUUGUUCACACUCAUCGCAACUAGACAAUUAUUUUUAGACCAUCUUCUUCUUCCUCUCCAAUUCUAUCGUGACAAUGAUCACCACAGCUGGAGUUGUGCAACCACAUCUUUAUUUUACUUCUUAUGUAUUUUUACCGAAAAAUCAAAAAGCUUGUUUCUUUUUACACUCUUUUAUUGUCA
rnacentral:misc_RNA from 1 species